UGUAAAUAUUAUAUAAAAACCAACAAAUAUUGUUUAAAAUCAACAACAUUCUAACUGCCGCAUUCAGCCUUCUGGAUGAUGGUAGACAGCUCGGAUCUUCAUGGCCUUAGAGAUGAACAGUGCCACUUAGAUUAGUGUGCUUAUCUAAUCCACUAAGUAAUAUGUGUAGUUUUGCCUUGUUGCCAAGGAACUGAUGGUUCUCUAGAAGGGGGAUUAAGUAUCGGUCCCUGAUGCUGUUAUGUAGACACCAUUCUAAGAACAAGUGUAUCAAAUCUUCUGGGACAGUGUCACCACAUGUACAAUAUCUUUUGUGGUAGGGAAUAUUCUGUAAGCGACCCAGCUUUGCCAGGAUGUCCAGUUGUUCAAAUCUUGCUUUUGUGAAGAUUUUCUGAAGUUGGGGAGGCAAAGAGAAAGCGUGGUCAUGUAUGGCAUACUCUCCACUUUUGUAGGAACAGAUAAAAGCGGAGGUAAGGAAUAANGGCAGGAAGUUAUCUGUCUGGCCAUUCUUGGACACUCUCUAUGGCAGGCAAGGCUGGGUUCCUGAGCUCAUAAAGGCACUCCGCGAUACAAACAUGGACGAACUAGCUGAGGAACUUCAUGGAGUUUACGAGUCGUUCAAGAACCCACCUUCAAGGCCUGCCACUGUAACAUCUGUACCUCCAGCAGCUGGGAUUUCUUUUGGUGCCUCAGCAACCGCUGUCUCUGGGGCCAGUGCGCCAUCUUCUAAUGAACCUUUGCUCUCUCCUCCACAUAAUAUGCCAAGCUCUAAGGGGCUUCAACCUCGUGUAUCUUUGUCUCAAGCUCCAUCAUCCACGCAAACGGCAUCCCCUGAAGAGAUGAGUGAUUAUAGCAACCCUGUGCAGGAAUCAGAAGGUUCUCCUUCGAGCAGUGAGGCGGCGGUGAAACCGAAGACAAGUGGCAAUGCUGAAAAGAAAGAACCUUCCUCAUCACGCCAAAGCAAGCCGGAUGCUACUAAUCCCAACUUGUCUCUAGGAGAUAAGAGACCAACUGAUGCUGAAUUAGCUCCCAAGGUAGCUUCUCCACCUGUAUUUCACGAUUGCUGUGACGAUGGUCGUAUACAGGAAGUGGNGCAUACUACGAGCUCUGAUGUAGAUCGCUUGGCACGGAAUUGGGAUGGGCGACAGCAACAUCCUGUUUGCGUGAAGAAUGGGUAUUUCGGGAACAGAAAUCUCCCGGUGAAUAAUACCGUAUUUCCAUCAUCGGUUGCCCCUCCUGAGCCUCAGACUUCUGCAAAUGAACCUGAGGAGGAUUUCUAUAUGUCUACUGAUAAUUCUCCAUCAGCUCCAGGUGGUCAAGCUUCCCAUCUUUCAUCCCCUGCAAAUACCCCUUCGCGUGACCAUUCAUUUAGGCAAUGUCAACCCGCACCUUUGUUCACCUGCUCUGACGUGAUCCCCCCCAGCUCAUCUCCACAAGUGCCAGUUGCCCCAGACGAGGACUUGAAACCUCCUAUUCAAGAGAAGAAGCUGCCUUCUGGAACGCAAGAUGGCACAGCUAGUCCAUGGCCAGCACAACAAGACGUGAUGAGCAGUGUUCCUCUUGGGAGGACUCAGACACUGAAUAUGGAGGAAAAGAGUGCUGCAAGUCCGAGAAGUUGCCAGAACACCACCUCUCGCCCUUCUAGAGAUGACCGUAUCUUCUACAGCAAUUGUGACGAGGAAGAUGGCCUCUGCAAACCUGGUGUUCUGAGUGCGAUGCCCAAGGAAGAUGGGAAUGGAUGGAGUGAGACAGAGCCUGCCUACUCGGGGUGCUCUGGUCGGAUUCUGAUGAGCAGUAGCUGUUCUUUAGAGAAUGACCCCCUCAUGCUGAGUGAUGCCAGCCUAAGCAGUCAGACUGAAGAGUGUUUAUCCAGUCUGCCUGUAGGCCUCGUUCCGGAAAAGUUGGUGACAAGCGGGACGGGCAACCCCACUCCUCUGCCUCCACAAGGCAGCGGUGGGGACAACGCAUCCAUCCGUAGCUUCACGGUCAAGGUGGACGAAGCUCCCACUCCGGAUCUUUCUGAGCCACCCGGGGUUGUUGGGAUAACGACUCAAACUGUCCUGCGGUCCUCUUCUGCUUCGCCUGAUCGAGCUACUGGAUGUCCGCCAGUCAAAAGUGACGGAUCUCGCCCUAAGAAUUCACGAAAUUCCCGCCCAAGGGGGAAGGGUGACGGCACUUACGAAGGGCUGCUUUUUGGCUUUGCCCUCGCAGCUGUGCUGGUGGGAGUUUUCAUACUAUUCAAGAAGAAAUAGGAACUUGAAGGGAAAGGAAGAUUGCGGAGCAGCUUCCAGCCAGCACACGACAACAAUAAUUUGACCUUCUGCAUGGCUAAGUGCUAGAAACCUUCCUUUCCUUCCAGUUUCCUACUUCUGUUGGACCGGGAGACCCCUGAUGCUCAGAGCAAGUUUUGACCUCCAAGCUUCGGUCUGAUGUCCAGAACUUUGGAAGCGGCAUCCUUCGAUGCUUCUGUCCGUCGCAGCUGUCUGGGCUUAUGUGCACUUGCAAUGUGCCCUUUGAACAGAUGGGGAGAGGGACCUUAAGCAUAUGCCUGGCUCAGCAGAAACAGCCUCGGCAAAGUCUCACCCACCGCGUCACUCAUUUUGGCCUGGUGUCUGUGAACCACCAACUUUCAGUUCUCAAACAAUUGCCUUUGGAAGAACACAACACUCCUUUGCCUUUGGAAGAAUGAGGCCCCUCCCUUUUCCGUUUUCUGUGAUGCUCUGUGGUGAAAGAUAACAUGGAAGCACUUUUAUCCUUUUUAAUGUCCUUUACAGAUCAGCCGUUUGAUUAUUCUUGUGCAUUUGCCUUUUGCUUUCUCCUACAUUUCCAAGCCCAUCCCUCAAUGUCUGUUAAAGAACUGGAUUUAGUUUGUGACCAGCAGUGCUUCAUUCUUAAAAAGUUCACACUGCAGUUGGCUCUGCCAGCGCUUUUUCUGGUGGCCGUAAGGACCCGGCCUUCCUUUUCACCAAGUGCAGUUGGCAGAUCGUGCCAAUGGAAAGGUGAUGAAACUUUUUAAAAAAAAAUAGCAAAGCAAAAAGGCAUUAUAGAAGAAUCUCUUCUACUACAUCUUUUACUGCAUUCGUUCACUCAGUCGCUCAUUUGUUCAUUCACUUCAGUUUAUUUGUAAACCUAGUUCCAAUAAGAAUGCUCAACCAAUUAAAACUUAAAAUAAAAUAAAAUAUAUGCAG
ensembl:lncRNA